UUCUGAAAAAUAGGAAAGUGGAAAUGGAAAAUAUUGUUAAAUGGAUUUUUUAAUUUUUUUUAUGGGGAAUUAUUUGAAACGAAUGGAGUCUACUGGAUUUUUUUAUUUACGUGAAUAAAAUUAUGUUUUCCGUGCUAUAAUUAUAUUUCUAAUUUAUAGUGAUAUUUUUGGGUGUAACAUAAGAGAGAAAAAAAAAUGUUUUUGAUGGGGACAAACAUUCAUUUUUUAGGAAGCAAUUAAUUAUUUUCUAAGUGUAAUUUACAGGGGCUUACGAACAGAAAAUACAUCAUAAUUUUGUUAAAUAAAUUAAUGUUGAAAAUGUUCACUUUUAAAUCGUUUAAAACUAGCAACUGGCUUUUUAAACGUCUGAAUGGGAGAUUUUUAUCAAUUUUUAUCAGCACAGUUUGUGCUUGUCAUGAGUCACCCGAAUGUCACAUCAAUCCAGCAAUCGGUUUCAGUUUCACAAAAUAGUCUGAGAGGGAUAACACUAUAUUGUUUAUUAGCGCAAAUAAAAUUCUCGCGAUGAUCCCCCCAAUGUCCCGUAUCAAAACCAUAUUAUUUGGUGAACGAAUCGUCAAGUGAGUUUCAAUUUUGAAAAAUUCAUAAUUAAAAAUGAAAAAAUUUAUCAAGUGCAUUUGUAAACGUCUGAAUACCCGAUUGUUAUCAAUUGUUAUCAGCACUAUCCGGAUUCUUCGUAAAUCGUACGCACAUCGCAUUCAAUUCUUAUUGAAUUUCACUUUUCAAGAAACAUUUGAGAGUCCACUCAACAAUUUUGUUUUCUACGAAUGAAAUUCUCAGUGAUGAGACCAGCGAUGAUUCAAACGGCACGCACGCACCUUUUCUACUGCCACUCACACAUUCAACACACGUACACAGAUCACCCAGGCACACUCUGUUGGUGCCAGGUCGACGACGUCCUCGUGGACACGCAACCGUAAUUACCCGACAAAAGUUGUACCACGUCGUGAAGAAAAGAUCUUAAAUCCAAAGGGAUUAGCCACGAUAUGGGUAAGACGACGUGCCGAGGGACCAAGGCACCGCACACUGCCGCAUACCAGGCGGUAGACGAGACAAUCCCUCCACUCCAACCCCCUGUCAGACGGAUAGUCAGACUUGUGGAACAGUUGCAAUUGGUUUUGUGAAUGUCUAAAAACUCACUCCGCCGUGUGGUGACGACGCCCUGCGUCGCGACGCUCGCAGCGCCUUCUAAUGGCGCCUUUUUUCGCCGACAAACGAUGGCGAGAGGAUUUUUCAGAGGUUGUCGUCGUGUCUCACCUGAUAGUAAUUGAUUAGUGCCAGGCCAAUUGUCCAUCAACAGGUUCCCCGCAGACUGAAUAUGAUUAGCAAUGAGUAUCAUGCAAUCCGACACACGCUGCAGAUAAACUCAUUGUUAAUGUCAUGAAUUGUUAAAGUCCAUUGAACUUGUCGGUUCAUCUACUCGUAACCGGUUCUCGCCGCUUCGAAUUCAUCGUUGAAGGACAAGUGAAGACGGCACUGACCGCAACUCCAGUAAAAUUCACUGGUCAUUAGACACGAGGGACUUGAUGAUCGUGUCAUAAUUAAUGGCGAAGGAUUGAUUUCACUUGGCAUUGGGUAUCAUCGAUCCGGUGAAUUAUUUAUUCGGGAAAUGUCGCACCAGGAAUUUUCCCUACGACGACGGAAGUUAUUUUUCAUAAAUUUUAAUUUUAAUGGUAAUCAAUUUGACGGUUCAAUUAAAACAUGAAUUUCCGAUGAAUUUAAUGAUUGAGGAACAUUUGGCUGACUUUCCCUGAUUUCUGUGAAUUUUCCCGGAAGUAUUUACCUAGAAUUUAUUAAUUUAUUAAUUUAAUUGUUUCGUUUUCCUGGAAUCCAGAUCUUUUUACAUUUUAAACGACAAAAUUUCCAGAUAUUUUGAAAAUAUUCAAGUGCGCGAAAAAAAUACAACAAAAAUUACAUUUCAAUUCUCCCAUUAAUUAAUAAUUAUACAAUUUCCAUAACCAAGGUUAUCAACAAUUAAUACAUCUUUUUGUUUACAAUAAUGCAAUUUGACGGUAGAAUUUGCUCGACAGAAUUUCAUAGCCAAAAAAAUCCCACCAAGAAAUAAUUUUUUUGUUAUUAAAUAUUACGUGUAAUAUUGUUUGGUGAAUUCAAUGGGGGCUGGGGAAUGUUUAGGUCAAUUUGUGUAAUAGUCGAAGAUGUUGAAAUAUGUAUAAUGCAGGUACCAAGCUCCAUUAAAUUUCCUACCCCAUGGGAAUCCAUGGAAGGCUCAUGAAUGAUUACGCUCCUUCGUUCCAGUACCCCAGAGUCAGUGUUACCCAACUAGCUAUUCUUCCGGUUCUGGGGAGUCAUAAAAUGUUGGGGAAUCGAUCGUGGCCUCACAUGGAACACUAGCCAUCACUUCGUUGUGUGUAAAUGACUGACAAAUCGGCAUUAUUUGUCUCCACGUCCGCGGAUUCUUCAUCACUGUCCUGUUCUAGCUCAUUCCAGUCCCUUUUUUAUAUAUAUUUUUUUGCACUUCCGGUUUGACAUUCUGGCAGUCGUACAGUUUAUUCGGUUGGAAAGAACAGAAAAUGAGUAGCGAUUUUUGGGACUGGGGUAGCGAACGCAAUUUAGAGGGUGAAAAAUUAGGAAAUUUUAAGUUUCACUGGAAAUUCCGGAAAAUCGCGAAAUUUUAAGGCACGUAGUCAAGAGAAUUCUACAAUUUAGUUGAUUUUCAGUGUCAAUGGAUGUGGAGAGAAAAAUUCAAUGAAAAUCGUUAAAAAAACAUUUUUAUUCCAAUUUUAUUGAAAAUUCUAGCAUUUUUGAUUUUUUUUUUCCUUGAAAUUUCGGAAAAUUCGGGGAUUUUGAGCAAAAUGAGCACAAGAAGCGCUCAAUUUAUUUUUUAAUCCGUUUUUCCAAUUUAAAUAUUCAAUGUCAACUCCAACAAAGACAAUUAUUGAAUAAAAAUAUCCAGAAAAAAAUUAUUCUCUUCUCCAGUAACAAUUCCAGUCAGAUUUCCAUUUUACCCCAACGAAAAAUCUGUUCUCUUCCGACUUUUCAGCAACAAAAUAUCAAAACAGUUCAAAAGCUUCUUAAAAAUUGUUAAACCUUCCAAAAUUUUCCCUUCUGCCGAUACAAUAAAUUAGAAAUUUCCGGUAGAGAUAAAUUCCAUAAAAAUCACUGGAAAAUUAUUUCUCCAUCCGGAUGACGAACCCAAUUCUCUGCCAAUAGUUAUCUCCGUCCAGCACCCUCCAAUAAAAAAUAAACCAAAGCUUCCGUUCAGAAGUAAAAACCGAAAUUUUAAAAGACAAAUCGUCUCAGGAAACGUUGACAAUUAUUUUCUAGUAAAAAAAUAUUUCCCUCCGGGUAGGGGGAUAGCUCAUCAUCUAUUUUGAACGGGUACAUCAUAUUGCUCCCCGACGACAUCCGAACAAUUUUCCUCUGUCGCUCAUUAAUUCCUCGUGAUGACAUUGAAAUCUAUCACAGACACUGUUAAUUCUACAGAUCACCGUCGCUAUAAUUAACUCUGCUGUCACUUCGCGGUUUAUUGUUCCAAACAUUCGAAGACGAAAUACGUAACUACCUUUUGCUAAAUCGAUUCUCCUUCUGUUUUCACCCUUAUCGAUCCCGGGUCAGAGUCAAAAGACACGUAGACGCCGUUCUCCCGGGGUCAGACUUCACCCGCUACUUUCCGUGGUGCAUAGCACAUGCAUUAACAGGUCGUAACGAAUUUUUUAAAGUCCAACAUGUGCAGCUGUGCCUUCUACACUCUUUGACAUUUCCUUAUAUUUGAGUGACCGAUGUACACAAAGGAAAAAAAAUCUAGCACUCAGUAAACAUUUUUUUACGAUAAAAUCGAUUUCAUACGAAUUUCCAUUUCAGUCUCGGAUUUAGUGAAAAGAUUUUUUUUUUGCCAAAUCCGAAGUAAUUGAAAAUAUAUUUACUUCAUGCUAGAGUUUCUUUUCUUACUGUUAAUGAGAAAAUAGAAAUAAACAGGAAAAAUUUAGGAAAAAUUGCGAAAAAUGCAGGGAAAGUUUAAUAAAAAAUCAGAAAAGGAAAACAAAAAUUUCCAAACGCUCUGAAAUAAUUCCCCGACAAUUUCGUAAAAUUUUCUAUGCGGAGAGAAAUAUUCAGUAAAAAUUACGUAACUUUACCGUUACUCCGAAGCAAAAAAUGGGCGAAGAAAAUUUUUCGGAAUUUUUCCGAAGCGUUUCGUCAUUUUUAUCUGAAUUUUCCGGAAUUUCCCUGAAUUUGAUUCUCCUAGAAACAAAUCCUCUAAAAAAUUGUAAACUAAUUAAUGUGAUAAUUAUCACGAUUUCUCUUAAAUUUCCCCAGAAAUCCGGAAAAAUACACAUUUCCCCUUCUAAAAUUUCCAGUACCAGCACUUGAAUUUGCCAAAAAAUUUUUUUCUCGUCCAUUUCACAUCAGAAUUACAAAAAAAACAAAAUAAUCAUUAAUGAAUCGAACUUUAAUUUCUGGUGAUUUUUAAUGCAUCAAAGAUUUGGAUUUUUACUAUGAAAAAACGACUUCUUUUAAAAAUAAAAAAAUAAAGUUGUACAUCAGGAUCAAAUAAAUUAUGCAAUCCUCUGAUAGAUCGAAUAUAUUUUCAUUCUACGAUUAGUAUUUAUAAUUUUAGAAUUAAGCAGUCGUCCGCGUGCUUCGGCAAGACGAGUUAAAAUAAACUUUCAUUCAUUUGGAUGCUCUCACAGCGACGCUGUUACAAUCAGGGGAUUUAAUUAAAUGGGGUCUGUAGAUGGCUGGAAACGACCUAGAUAUCGAUCCGCAUGACCUUAUGGAAUUCGAGGAAUUAAAUUUCCUGAUGUGGGAUUUAUAUUUAACGAGGGAUACCCUUCGAUAGUGAAGUCAUCACUGAUAAUUCAAUUUCAUGUCCGAAGGCGAUUGGAUAAGACCAAAGAAGCAUUUUUCCUAAUUAAAAUAUUCCGUGGGAGAGAUUUUUUUAUAACAAAACAUGUCAUAAGGACAUUUUACAGCUGAAAGAAAAUCCAGCAAAAAAUAUUCAAUAAUUAUUCCUCCUAUGCGAGCAUUUCUUAAAAAAUAAUUUAAGAAUUGAAAAAAUUAAAAGGAUAAAUCUUCUGUUCUGCCAGUUUUAUUCAAAUUUUGAUCUCAAAUCACUAAUGAUUAAUUGAAUAAAUAAUUCUUUGGGGAUUGACAAUUGAUCUACUAGUUGAGUAACUUUUUGUUGCACAAUUGGGAUAAGAAUUUUUAAUUCAGGAGAAAAAAUCAGGUCCAAUGGAUUCGCAUUGUUUUUUACGUUUUUGAAUUCCAGAAGAAUUAUUAGGGAAAAUUGUCAGAGUGCGAGGUAUCAUUAUCGUGGAAUUCGUGUUUUUUUCUUGUUUCAACUAUAUUAUCGUUUCUACGAAGUUAUACCGACAUCCUUUGACUUUAACCAGCAAUUUCCUCUGAUAAAGCGUAAAUGCUCGCUAUUUCUGACGUGAGACGAUAACAUUCUUCAUGAAAAAAAUGUCUAGAGAUGAAUCUUCUGUUGUGUACUCUGUAUAUUUUAAAGGAAAUCUUAUUUGUUUAUUGAAUCGGCUCAAAAGUCAAAAUUCUCCGCCUUUCACUACAAUUUACCGAUACAAAGGGCUUUAAACAGAUUAAAUAAAUAUGCAAAUAAAUUUAAACAAUGUCGACUCCAGAUUUAGAACGUUAAUAUGAAAAGAAAAAUUUGAUGUACUGUAAAUAAAAAUAUUGACUGUGUUAGUAAUCCAAAACUGUGGCUUACAUCACUUUAAAAUAAUUUUAACAAAGGAAUAAACAUUUUUAAAAUGUUUUUUAUUUUAUUAUUAUUUAUUUCCUUGAUGUUACAAAAGUUUUCUUUGUU